AGCAGUCGCCACGGUAAAACGAAGGGGGCUAGCGUUGUUCGGAUUUACUGGGCGUAAAGCGCACGUAGGCGGAUCGAUCAGUCAGGGGUGAAAUCCCAGAGCUCAACUCUGGAACUGCCUUUGAUACUGGGUAUCUUGAGUAUGGAAGAGGUGAGCGGAAUUCCGUGUGUAGAGGUGAAAUUCGUAGAUAUUCGGAGGAACACCAGUGGCGAAGGCGGCUCACUGGUCUAUUACUGACGCUGAGGUGCGAAAGCGUGGGGAGCAAACAGGAUUAGAUACCCGGGUAGUCCCUGUCUCUUAUAC
rnacentral:rRNA from 1 species